rnacentral:rRNA from 1 species
UACAGAGGGUGCAAGCGUUAAUCGGAAUUACUGGGCGUAAAGCGUGCGUAGUCGGUUAUCUAAGUCGGAUGUGAAAUCCCCGGGCUCAACCUGGGAAUUGCAUUCGAUACUGGAUAGCUAGAGUUCGGCAGAGGGAAGUGGAAUUCCUGGUGUAGCGGUGAAAUGCGUAGAUAUCCGGAGGAACACCGGUGGCGAAGGCGGCUUCCUGGACCGACACUGACGCUGAGGCGCGAAAGCUAGGGGAGCAAACGGG